rnacentral:pre_miRNA from 1 species
AGGUGGAACUCUUGAUAGUCUGCUCACUUUCACUAUAGCUCAGACUAUCAGAGUCUCCAUUCCUGU